AGAGUUUGAUCCUGGCUCAGAACGAACGCUGGCGGCAGGCUUAACACAUGCAAGUCGAGCGCCCCGCAAGGGGAGCGGCAGACGGGUGAGUAACGCGUGGGAACAUACCCUUUGGUUCGGAAUAACUCAGGGAAACUUGAGCUAAUACCGGAUACGUCCGUAAGGAGAAAGAUUUAUCGCCAAAGGAUUGGCCCGCGUCCGAUUAGCUAGUUGGUGAGGUAACGGCUCACCAAGGCUACGAUCGGUAGCUGGUCUGAGAGGAUGAUCAGCCACAUUGGGACUGAGACACGGCCCAAACUCCUACGGGAGGCAGCAGUGGGGAAUAUUGGACAAUGGGCGCAAGCCUGAUCCAGCCAUGCCGCGUGAGUGAUGAAGGCCUUAGGGUUGUAAAGCUCUUUUGUCCGGGAAGAUAAUGACUGUACCGGAAGAAUAAGCCCCGGCUAACUUCGUGCCAGCAGCCGCGGUAAUACGAAGGGGGCUAGCGUUGUUCGGAAUCACUGGGCGUAAAGCGCACGUAGGCGGACCGUUAAGUCGGAGGUGAAAGCCUGGGGCUCAACCCCAGAACUGCCUUCGAUACUGGCGGUCUUGAGUAUGGUAGAGGUUGGUGGAACUCCGAGUGUAGAGGUGAAAUUCGUAGAUAUUCGGAAGAACACCAGUGGCGAAGGCGGCCAACUGGACCAUUACUGACGCUGAGGUGCGAAAGCGUGGGAGCAAACAGGAUUAGAUACCCUGGUAGUCCACGCUGUAAACGAUGAGAGCUAGCCGUUGGGGUGCAUGCACCUCAGUGGCGCAGCUAACGC
rnacentral:rRNA from 1 species